GGUGGUAUAGUAUAGUGGAUAGUACAACACGUUGUGGUUGUCAAAUUGACUACAUCAUGCUGAUACCGUGUAGACCUGGGUUCGAUUCCCAGUACCGCCA